rnacentral:rRNA from 1 species
UACGGAGGGUGCAAGCGUUAAUCGGAAUUACUGGGCUUAAAGCGCACGCAGGCGGUUUGUUAAGUCAGAUGUGAAAUCCCCGGGCUCAACCUGGGAACUGCAUUUUAAACUGGUCAGCUAGAGUCGUGUAGAGGGGGGGAGAAUGUCACGUGUAGCGGUGAAAUGCGUAGAGAUGUGGAGGAAUACCGGUUGCGAAGGCAGCCCCCUGGACAAAGAUUGACGCUCAGGUGCGAAAGCGUGGGGAGCAAACAGG